AUGAUGUUAGGGAAGCUUACCUAAAAAGAGUUCAUCAGCGGAGCUAACGGAGGGCAAGAACGAAUAUGAUAAGAAGAGAAGCCAUAGAAUGCAAGCUAAUGGAUUUGCAGCGGCCAUGGGUUCGAGGAUUAUGGUCGAAGUGAACUGAAAUUACGAAAAAUUGAUGCGGGUAUAUACGUUGCUUCGGCAAUUAAAAUUUAUUAGGGCUGCUCUCUCUAAAAUUAAAAUCAACAAUUUAGGCAUUUGAUUCUUAGCGCAUUCUUUAACUCCGUA
rnacentral:lncRNA from 1 species